CGAGCACGCGCGUGUGGCAUAUCAAUAAGCGGAGGAAAAGAAACUAACAAGGAUUCCCUUAGUAACGGCGAGUGAAGCGGGAAGAGCUCAAAUUUGAAAUCUUCAAGGUUCUACCUUGACGAAUUGUAGUUUAUAGAAGUGUUUUCUGUUAGUGGAGUGGCAAAAGUUCUUUGGAAUAGGACAUCAUAGAGGGUGAGAAUCCCGUAUUUGGUCAUUCCUCCUAGCGUUGUGAUACACUUUCAACGAGUCGGAUUGUUUGGGAAUGCAGUCCAAAAUGGGUGGUAAAUUUCAUCUAAAGCUAAAUAUUGGCGAGAGACCGAUAGCGAACAAGUACCGUGAGGGAAAGAUGAAAAGAACUUUGAAAAGAGAGUUAAACAGUACGUGAAAUUGUCAAAAGGGAAGCGUUUGACACCAGUGUUGUUUUUCCGAAAAUCAAUUACGAAUGUUUUAGUUUUUGAGGAGUUAUGACUUCAUCGGCUUGCUCCUUUCUUUAUGAAACUUUCUUAAUGCACUUUUCGGUUAACAAGUCAACAUCAAUUUCUUUUGUUGUAAAAGGGUCAUGAGGAAGGUGGCUUUCUUUUCGGAGAAAGUGUUUAUAGCCUUGUGCCUCUGCAAUCGGAGAGAUUGAGGUCUGCAGCGUAGAUCCUUCGGGGUUAGAUACGUUUGUGCUAAGUUAUAGCUUUUCAUAGACAACUUGUUGACUAUGUUUAGUCUUGUAGCUUACUCGCCUGACGCUAUUUUACCUACGCUUAGGAUGUUGAGCGCAUGUCUCUCUCU
rnacentral:rRNA from 1 species